rnacentral:lncRNA from 1 species
GGUGAAGGGCGGCUUCCUAACUUUGUUUCCCAAGUCCCCUAACUUCGGAAUGCUUCUGCAUUGGUUCUUGCUCAGUGUCAUACCAGCGACUCCAAGAGUCAUGUCACCCACUUAGCAGGAGUACUUCUACUGAAAUGCCUUCGAAUUUCUCUUACUGGAUAUAUACCUACCAGCCGCUAGCAUGAAGAUGCCAGGACCGCUGCAAGUUAGCACUGGACAAAGUAGCAUCAACUUCUUCAUUUAGAGUUUCUUCAGUUAAAUUGCUGGGAUUUUCGACAAGGCUUUCCUUAUGUGGAUUAUUGGAGUGUGAUGCCCGAGAAUUCUCUACUUGUAGAAGCACGCCCACGGGACUGCAGAAGCCUUCACACCCACCCAGCACGCUCAGAUCAUCCAGUAACCAACCCAGGAAGUUCUUGUAAGCAUGCAUUUCUUAGUCAACACUGAAUGCCUUUAGACCGAGGUCAACCUUUUCAGCUGGUACCGUGGUUUACACUGCUGGUGGAACCAUCUAGGGAGGCCUGCCACUGUUUGCUGAGCUCCGGGUGAGGAUGAAGACACUUUGACAUGGCCAGCUUCAGACUCGGGAUCUGUCGGUGUUAGCAGCCGAAGGAGAAUGAGGAGGAAGAGGAGGAGAAAGAGGAGGAGGAAGUAAGACAGAGGGGGACAAGAGGACCAAGAGGGCACAUGGCUGAGGAGGAGGAGAACAACAACAACAACAACAACAACAACAACAACAAGAAGCUUGGUGUUUUCAGGAUGUGUUCCUGAGUCUCGUGAGUAGCACAUGGCAGUUGUUGUCACCUUGGGCUGAGCCGUGAAGAUUCUCACCCUCCCUUGUUGGGGAUGAACUCCGGGAUUCUAAGGAGAGGUCAGCAGGUGUUUCACAGACUGUUCCUGUUGGAGGAUUUGUCUGAUACUCUUCUCCUGAUUAGUCUGGGCUCUACAUUUCCCCAAGGGUGAAACUUGGAAGCCCUCUCCAGGAUGCAGCAGGUAGCUGAGGAGAAAACGAAGACUGACCAGCCCAGAGCUCAGAGCUUCCUCCCAUGCUCAGGAUUUACCACCAAUGCCAUUACAUCGGCCUCUUCUUGUAUGCCUCUGGAAACCACAUGUGUCCUCUGUUUGUAAUGGUUUGGCUAUGGUUGCUGGCCCCUCUUGGACAUUGUUUUCAGAACUUAAAGAAACAUUGCUUUAAAGAUUUAUUAGAACAUAUUUAAAAUAAAACCAUCUUCUCAUUUAGUAUGCAA